AACGAACGUUGGCGGCGUGGAUUAGGCAUGCAAGUCGAACGAAUCCCCGUGGGGGUAACUCUGCGGGGGGAAGUGGCGAAAGGGGCAGUAAUGCGUGGGUAACCUACCCCGGGGAUGGGCAUAGCCGUUCUAACGGACGGAUAAUUCCCAGCGAUUUGGCCGAGGGGCAUCCCUUGACCAGGAAAUGAAUUUCGCCUCGGGAGGGGCUGACGUGAUAUUAGCUAGUUGGUGAGGUAACGGCUCACCAAGGCGAAGAUGUCUAGCGGGUGUGAGAGCACGACCCGCGCCACUGGCACUGAGACACUGGCCAGACUCCUACGGGAGGCUGCAGUCGAGGAUCUUCGGCAAUGGGCGCAAGCCUGACCGAGCGACGCCGCGUGUGCGAUGAAGGCCUUCGGGUUGUAAAGCACUGUCGAGGGGGAGGAAGCCGAAAGGUUGACCUAUCCCUGGAGGAAGGACGGGCUAAGUUCGUGCCAGCCGCCGCAGUAACAC
rnacentral:rRNA from 1 species